UGGGGAAUUUUACGCAAUGGGCGAAAGCCUGACGUAGCGACACCGCGUGAACGAAGAAGCCUUUUGGGGUGUAAAGUUCUGUCGGCUGGGAAGAAAAAAAUGACGGUACCAGCAAAGGAAGCAUCGGCUAACUACGUGCCAGCAGCCGCGGUAAGACGUAGGAUGCAAGCGUUGUCCGGAUUUAUUGGGCGUAAAGAGUUCGUAGGCGGUUUGUUAAGUCUAGUGUUAAAGAUCAGGGCUCAACCCUGGGACUGCAUUGGAUACUGGCAGACUGGAGUGUGGUAGAGGUAAGUGGAAUUCCUGGUGUAGCGGUGAAAUGCGUAGAUAUCAGGAAGAACACCAGUGGCGUAGGCGACUUACUGGGCCAUAACUGACGCUGAGGAACGAAAGCCAGGGGAGCAAAUGGGAUUAGAUACCCCCGUAGUCC
rnacentral:rRNA from 1 species